CUGGGCACCUCAAAGCAGAUUUUUUUCCCCCCCUGGCUCUCUGUCAUUCCUUGUGAAACCACCUCAUUGGACUGAGCCUAUCUAUAUCUGAAGUAACGGGGGAUGACUCUCCUGCUCCAGAAUGCCCUUGAUAUUUCAUAAGGGUAGGACCCUGAAACGUUUAUCUUCCCGGUUUGUAAGUCAGUAUCACCUCCACCGUCCCACCCUUCCAGCAGCCUGCAGCACUAUGAAACUGAGUGUAGCCUGGUAUCCUUGCAGCUCUGGGGAUGAAUCUGCACUUGGGAAAACAAGAAAUCGGAUCCUGGGCCUGGUAAAUCUGAAAAGGAGACAAAGAAUAUUUUCUUCACUUGACAUCAACCAUCCUAAGUCAGGCAACUGCAAGAGAAGCAUGAACCACGGAAAUGAGAGAACUCAUGGCACCUGACCAGCAUCAACCGCCUUGCUCCUCAUGACACUCAGGGGGAAAUGUCUGUAACUCAAGCAACAGAGACUUCACCUCUUCACCCUGAGGACUUAAAAUGAUAAUGUGACUCUUCCCCUUGGGUUCUAUGGUAGAAAAUAAUGGGAGACCCAAGGGUGUGAUGAGAUAGUAAGAGGCUGUCCAUACCGCCUCUCUGCUGUUGGGUCUCCCUGCCAUAUACUUUAUAUCCUGCCAAUCAUGUGGAAUUCCAUGUACCCAAAACAUUGUCAAGGAUGCUGGGCAUCUGCUUGCAUGUGUUCAUCUCCAUGUACCAUAGGCUCCUUCUUAAAGACCUGGUGGCUUCCUGUUCAGGUCCAAGCUGGCAUGUGUUCAUCUCCAUGUUCCAUAGGCUCCUUCUUAAAGACCUGGUGGCUUCUUGUUCAGGAUCAAGCCUCAGUUUAUUCAAUUCUCCUACCAAUUCCUCUCCCUCCCACCUUUCUGGCCACUUUCCAACCAGAACUAUGACCAGUUCUGCUGACUUCUUUCCAACCUAAUGCUUUACCUGCUUCGUUAUGUUACAACCUUUCUUGGCUGUCUUGUACUUUCUUCAUCUUUAGGGCAUCAAGUUUCCACCUUUGAAUUUCUGGGACGAGUCACAAGGCUUGGAACAUACUAGAUGCAUAAAAAUGGCAUGCACGCUCACCUACUCUGAAUCUCCAGCCUGGAAGAGCAGCUUCUCCUCUGAAAUAAGCGUGAGUUGGGUUCUGAGCCAAGUAGAAGAACACCCAGGGCCUUCCAGGGUCAGUUUGGAUUCUGUCCUUGCUGGACAUAAUCCUCCUGAGAGCACUGAAGACAACCCUGGGCAAAGUGAGACAAGCAGUCACUAAACUGUAAAGGAAGGAGCAAGAAUGGACCUGAGCACUGGGAGAACUGUUGCACCAAACCAGACUCUAAGCAGGAGCUCUCACUUGCUAAGCUAAGGGAUGGAUGCAUCUAAAGACAAGACCCAAGGAGUGUGAGAGCUGUCUAGAGAACUCUAUAUACAAAUGUGGGACCUAGUGGCUCAUGCCUGUAAGCCCAGUACCUGGAUUAUCAUGAAUUUGAGGUCAGCUUGGGAUACAUAAUAAGAUUCUGUCUCAAAAUAAAACUUUCUGAUUGAAUUUUAAUACUUAAAGUGACUGAAAAAAUAAGGCGAGAUAAUUUUUUUUUAAAUUACAGAACCAGGUUUUCAAAAUUUAAAAAUUUGGCUGGUAUACAAAGAAAUUGGUUUCCUUGAGACAUUUUCACAAUGUUUAUUAUUAUGAUUUUAUUAUUUAUUUUUAUUUGCCCUCCUACACUUCUCCAUAUCCGUCCUCAGCAUCUUGUGAAUCCCUUUCCACCUUCCCAUUUAAUGACACAUAUAUCCUAUUGACGGCUCUGUUUUCCCUCCCUUAGUCUCUCUUUCAUAGUCACCUUCUACUUCCAUAUCCUACAUAUAUACAUACAUGUGGGAUUCAUGUAUGUAUACAUAUAUACAUUUACAAAUAUGUAUGUGUACAAUGUAUGUAUAAAUUUAAAUAUAGACUCCAUAUAUUGGAAAAAUAAUAAUUGUCUUCUGCGUUUG
rnacentral:lncRNA from 1 species